rnacentral:rRNA from 1 species
UAGGGAAUCUUCGGCAAUGGACGAAAGUCUGACCGAGCAACGCCGCGUGAGUGAAGAAGGUUUUCGGAUCGUAAAACUCUGUUGUUAGAGAAGAACAAGGACGUUAGUAACUGAACGUCCCCUGACGGUAUCUAACCAGAAAGCCACGGCUAACUACGUGCCAGCAGCCGCGGUAAUACGUAGGUGGCAAGCGUUGUCCGGAUUUGUUGGGCGUAAAGCGAGCGCAGGCGGUUUCUUAAGUCUGAUGUGAAAGCCCCCGGCUCAACCGGGGAGGGUCAUUGGAAACUGGGAGGCUUGAGUGCAGAAGAGGAGAGUGGAAUUCCAUGUGUAGCGGUGAAAUGCGUAGAUAUAUGGAGGAACACCAGUGGCGAAGGCGGCUCUCUGGUCUGUAACUGACGCUGAGGCUCGAAAGCGUGGGGAGCAAACAGG